rnacentral:rRNA from 1 species
UACGUACCGUACGAACGUUAUUCGGAAUUACUGGGCUUAAAGGGUUUGUAGGCGGCCUUGUAAGUCAGGUGUGAAAUCCCUCGGCUCAACCGAGGAAUAGCGCUUGAUACUGCAAGGCUUGAGGGAGACAGGGGUAAGCGGAACUGAUGGUGGAGCGGUGAAAUGCGUUGAUAUCGGGAGGAACACCAGUGGCGAAGGCGGCUCUCUGGGGUAUUUCUGACGCUGAGGCACGAAAGCCAGGGGAGCGAACGGG